rnacentral:tRNA from 1 species
AAAAGUUAGUUUAAAUAAAACAUUAAUUUGUCAAAUUAAAAAUAUUAAAAUUAAUACUUUUUA